UGAUCAGUAGGGUAAAACUAACCUGUCUCACGACGGUCUAAACCCAGCUCACUUGAUUUUGAUUUCCAGUACGAAUAGAGACCGCGAAAGCGUGGCCUAUCGAUCCUUUUGAUUUUGCGGAUUUCAUGUAAGAGGUGUCAGAAAAGUUACCACAGGGAUAACUGGCUUGUGGCAGCCAAGCGCCCAUAGCGACGUUGCUUUUUGAUCCUUCGAUGUCGGGUCUUCCUAUCAUUGCGAAGCAGAAUUCGCCAAGCGUUGGAUUGUUCACCCACCAAUAGGGAACGUGAGCUGGGUUUAGACCGUCGUGAGACAGGUUAGUUUUACCCUACUGAUCGCUGAUCGUUGCUAUAGUAAUCCUGCUCAGUACGAGAGGAACCGCAGGAUCAGACAUUUGGUUCAUGCGCUUGGCUGAAAGGCCAGUGGCGCGAAGCUAGCAUCUGAAAGAUAAUCACUGAACGCCUCUAAGUCAGAAUCUUGCCUAUCGACUGGCGACGAUACGUGGCGUCCGAGUUGUUGCAACGUUGACGGUAGACCGGCGGUCGACCGGUCUCCACUUGAAGCCGUGCUGCCACUUGUUGACGGCAGCGCCGUCGGCUAGCAUGAACGACAUGCUGCGACGGCGGCGACCCAACCGGUAAAACAGCAGUCGGACAGCAGAGUUCCCCGUAGACGACGGACACACCGGUUGAGGUGUUGUGAU
rnacentral:ncRNA from 1 species